AAUAAACGAGAAACUCGGAUUACAGGGGACGUUAAAUAUUAACUUUUUGUACUCGAUUUACUGUAAUUACGUUUAAAGAUGCGAUACUAUACAUCGUUUUACUAAUAUGCCACAGGAACGACUAAAGUUAAACUGAAGCAGUCAUUUAUGAAUGUAUGUACAUACGUAGGUAUUUGUAAUUUCAUUAUAGUUUAUUAAAUUAGACUUUUGUAUAUUUUCAAAUAGAACCUUUUGCGCAAUUUGCUUUAUCAAAUCCUCUUUAUGGUGUAAAAGUAAUGGCUAAAUUUAGCAGACUGAAAACAGAUAGACUUUUAAAGAAAAAAAUUAUAUAUUUUGUAAUAUAUAUUUAACGUAUUUGCAUCGAGGAUUAAACAUUACUGAUAUAAAAAGAAACUUUUAAAGAAUGACCUUCCAAUAGAAACUUAAAACCCAAGUAAUUUAAAUUUAAGCCCUAUUUAUCAAAAUCAUUUGCAAUACAAACGACUGAGAGCAUAAUCACCAACUGUCAACAGUCGAAUGACAGAAGUAAAUAUGUUACUUAUUCUGCUUAUUCACAAAAAAAGGGUGUCCGAGAAAAAACAAUUCACUGAAAAAACGGCCGAACAAGUCAAAUUUAAUACCGAGGGGAACAUUUAUUGACAGAAAUUGCGUUUCUCUGACCUCACCCACCCAUGAAAAUUUUGUUAUUAGGAAAAGGGAUUGAGUGAUACCUUAAAUUAAAGGAAACCGCAUAGAGGCGAAAUUUUACAACGUCGCGCGUGUACAAGUGCGUGCGACAGAGCACCGCCCCGGCCGGCCCGAGGACGGGAUUAGUAAACAUCUGACUUUCGUGGGAGCUGCUUCGUUUGGCGACAAAAUGUCCCAAAAUAUUACGCGAAAAUCCAGGCAUUUUUAAAAUAUUUAUUCUAAUGCGGGUUUUAGAGACAUGACAAUGUGUAAAACCCGAAUUGUAAUCUUAAAAUGUUUAAUAUGCUGUGUUUUGCAUAAUGAAAAUUAGCGUUAUUCUAAUAAAAAAUAAAAUAUCAACUUUGAUAAAAAGAUAAUAAAAAAUUAGAAAUAAAACUCUAAUAAACAAACUCAACAACAUAUCAUUUUUUAAAUAAAAGGCUCAAAUAAACCGUCUUCUUUUGCUAAACAAAAACUUAACCUAUCGUAAAAGCUAUUUCGCACCUCCAAAAGAGUUACAGGUAAAAUGGAAUUGGCACCUUCGACAAUUUUAUUUCGCAACUCCUCUAAAUUUGUUGGCCUACUAAAUUCAUGCUUGUAAAUGGUCUGCUUAAGGUAACCCCACAGAUAAAAGUCAUUCGGAGACAAAUGACUGUCAAGUCAUUUGUUUGGAGAUCUAGGAGGUCAUUUAAUAUCGCCAGUCCCACUAAUAAGGCGGUUAGGAAAAGUAUUUGUUAAAAAUUCUUUUACCCUAGCCUCGUUAUGAGCAGGACAGCCAUCUUGCUGAAAAUAAACCGAUCCUAGGUCUACAUCAGGUAGGAUUUGAAUGGCAAGAAGAACUUGGUUUUGCAGCAACUCAAGGUACGUUUGGGCGUUUAAAGUGCCAUCAAUAAAAAAUAGCCCUAUAACAUUGUUGCCCAAAAUACCUGCCCAGACAUUCAAUUUCUGAGGAUACUGGGUACGAAACUGAAAACUUCUGUGCUCGUUUUCCUGAGACCAAUAACGAACAAUGGAAGGAUUGUGUUUGCCAUGUAAUGGAAAAGAAGAUUCAUCAGAAAACAAAAUAUUUUUUAAAAAAUAUUCGUUUUCAUUUGCCUUUUCCAUCAUGGUUUCACAAAAUUCCAUUCUUCGCCACUGGUCUUCAGGAAAUAUUUCCUGAGUUUUUGAAUACUUGAAACAUUUGUACCCAUGUUUUUUCCAGAUACGAGCAACAGUUUUAUUGCUCAUUCCCAGUUCCUCUCCAACACUUCUAGUGGACCGUGUCGAAUCAAGUUCUAGGGUACUGCAAACCAUUUCUUCCCGCCGUUCUAAUAUAUCCUGGACCACUUCCACAACAGGUGGUUCUUGACGUUUUGUGUGGCAUUUUUUACAAUCUUGAACACAAAAAGAUGUCUCAAAAUUUGUAACCACAUUUAAAACCGUUUUUGCACAAGGAAUCGGUCUAUUCUCAAAUGUCACUGAAAACAAAUCUCUACACUGUACUGCUGAAUUGCCUCCAUAAAACCAUUUAAUUAGUUGAACUCUUUCGGAAGGGGUAUAAACAGCCAUAGUGAAAAAAACACGAAAAUAACGCUCAAAAAUUAUUAAUGCAACGUGCAGUAAUACAGCAAAGUGAGGUCUGCUGACUCUCGGUUCAAAAAAUAAAAUAAAAAUUACGCCGCCUGCAAGCCGCAACCAAGCGGUGUUGCCAUUAUUUUGGGUAAUACGUAGCUCACGAUAACACGAACUGUAUACUUUGAGAGUAAUCAACAAGUUUUCAGAAUAAAAAAGAUUCCUGACAAAAAAAUUAAUGAAAAAGAAGCUACUUGGCAAGGUAGAAUACCUCUAUGUUUACAAUGCACGUACCCGAUGUUGCCACUUUGUGUCGAUUUUCUAGAUAUUUUUUCAAUUUGUGAAGCUAGCGCCCGAUCGAUAACCCGUAACCAAAGUCUAAAACGCAGCAUAUGUUGUUUGCCAGCAACCUAUUUAUAGUCCGCGUCCGCUGUUAUUUAAUCGAUAUAAUGCCCGUAUCGCCUGAAAUUCCCAAGGAAUUUUAAUAUUUUGUUGUCCAGAUAUUAACAAUCAAUUGUUAGACUAAAUCGAUUUAUAGUGGUUAUAAGCCUCUACAAACUAAAGUUUUUUGUGAAAAUUACUUAAAAGUAGAAUGUUAAAGAAAUGAAAAAUGCUCUCAAAGAAUUUUAUUUAAUAUUUUUUAUAAUAAAUAUCUAAGCGCAUUUUGAGAUCGUUGCAAACAUCUACAAACAAAAUUUUUAUAAAAAAUUAUUGAAUUGUUAAAUAUUAAAAAAUAUAAAGGGUUAUCUAACUCCUUACGGCUAUAAGGAAAAGUUUUAUCCAUAUCUUUUGGCGGUCUUAAUAUUAAUUAAAAAAACUCACUGAAACUUCUCAAAAUAUCCUUUAAAUCAGUGUUGCCAGAUGCCGAAAAACGUUUACAUGAGAAAUAUUUCGUAAAAGCAUGAGAUUUAAAAGCAUGAGAUGGCACUGUUGUAAAUAAGACCCUAGCAGGGUGUUUAUUUAUUGUUAUACAACGUAUUUUUCUUACCUUGAUUUUAAAUUAAAUUUAAAUUGCUAUUUAAAAAUAAUAUUUUAAAAUAAAACAACAAAAUAUAUUGCCCCAGGAAAUAAAAAUCUAACAAUAUUUUAACGAUUUUUUACUUAUGGAUGAGUUAAACGGGAUAAACACAUAACUAAUGUCCACACAUGUCCUAUAUUUAAAAUUUAAGAUUAAAUC
rnacentral:lncRNA from 1 species